rfam:Schistosoma mansoni, Puerto Rico, WGS project CABG01000000 data, contig: 0134
GCCCAGUGCCCUGAAUGUCAAAAUGAAGAAAUUCAACCGAGCGCGGGUAAACGGCGGGAGUAACUAUGACUCUCUAGCACACUGC